GACAGCUUGGCCGAGUGUUAAGGCGAUAGCUGCUAAGUUAUUGGGGCAACCCGCGUGAGUUCGAUCUCACAGCUGUCG
rnacentral:tRNA from 2 species